rnacentral:rRNA from 1 species
UGAGGAAUAUUGGUCAAUGGGCGCAAGCCUGAACCAGCCAAGUAGCGUGCAGGAAGACGGCCCUAUGGGUUGUAAACUGCUUUUAUACGAGAAUAAUUUGAUGCACGUGUGCGUUAUUGCAUGUAUCGUAUGAAUAAGGACCGGCUAAUUCCGUGCCAGCAGCCGCGGUAAUACGGAAGGUCCAGGCGUUAUCCGGAUUUAUUGGGUUUAAAGGGAGUGUAGGCGGUUUGUUAAGCGUGUUGUGAAAUUUAGGUGCUCAACAUUUAACUUGCAGCGCGAACUGUCAGACUUGAGUACACGCAACGUAUGCGGAAUUCAUGGUGUAGCGGUGAAAUGCUUAGAUAUCAUGAAGAACUCCGAUUGCGAAGGCAGCAUACGGGAGUGUAACUGACGCUUAAGCUCGAAGGUGCGGGUAUCGAACAGGAUUAGAUACCCUGGUA